AGCCAUUGAAAGAAAUUUCUGAACAGUCUCCUUUCCAACAAGAAGAAAUUCAACAAAGUGGUCCCUCCGAACGUAUGAAGCGAAUAAAUGAAACUUCAAAAACAAUUUCAAUGCAUGCAAAAGAAAUUCCAGAAUGUGGUCCACCCAAAGAUAAGAAACCUUUGAGGGAAUUUUCUAAAAAGUUUCCUUUCCAUCAAGAAGGAAUUCAACAAAGUGGUCCCUCCGAAC